GACGUAGGGCGCGAGCGUUUGUCCGGAUUUAUUGGGCGUAAAGAGCUCGUAGGCGGUGUGUCGCGUCGGCCGUGAAAACCUGGGGCUUAACUCUGGGCUUGCGGUCGAUACGGGCAUCACUGGAGUUCGGCAGGGGAGACUGGAAUUCCUGGUGUAGCGGUGAAAUGCGCAGAUAUCAGGAGGAACACCGGUGGCGAAGGCGGCGACCUGGUCCGAUACUGACGCUGAGGCGCGAAAGCGUGGGGAGCAAACAGG
rnacentral:rRNA from 1 species